rnacentral:lncRNA from 1 species
CUCCUAACAGCAAGCAAUCAUCUAACUAUUGCGGUGCGUAACCCUUGGUUCACACUGCCUACCCGAACAGCGUGCAGCGGCGGCGUUGAACAGCUGCGUCUGGCACGCUCGCAGUGUUCAAACCAACAGUGUGUCAGCUGCGUGGCUGCUGCUGCCAACCCGAUCUUCCUAUAACGAGUUUGUCUUUGAUAAAUACCAUACAAUAAAAGCCUUGUUAACAUAUGAAUGGAUUAUAUCCACAGAAAAUGCCAGAGAGUUUUUAAUCUGAAACAGAUGCAGGAGGUGAUCUUACUCUGUCGUAUUCUACAGAUACAGACAUUGAAACUGUAGUGAAAGAUGUUCAUGUUGCUGGUAUAUUGUCGAUACGACUAUGAACAGACUGUUUUCACUGUAUUUCUACUGGGAACCGCGUGCGGCUCGCGGAAAAAACAGGCGAGACCUCGAUGCUCCAGUGAAGCGUUGCUGCCUCAGGCGGGUGUGACUGCUGUAAUCUGUUAAUAUGGGCCGAAAUAAAAAGCAAGACGUUACACCACACGUUCUCUAUCCAUAAGGAAUCUGUUAAAUCUUCUGUUAUGUUGUGUAAACAAACCACGUACGGAUCAGAUGUGCACUCAAGUUCAGACUGGAGAUUUAGGACACGAUGGUGGUUAGUGGCGACGCUGCAGCCGACUUGCCUCAACCUCUUCUUCAAUGUGUGCAGGAGAACCUUAAGUGGCCGUGAAACUUGCGAAAACGCACUGACUCCUAUCUUGGGUCAGUGUUUGUCCACGCUGGGCUUCUGUAUGGUGGUGUAACAUGGCGAACUCUGAAAGAGGACUAGGUAACAAAAACACAAUGAUUUUUAUUUUCAGGUGAUUAUAUGUGAAUGGAAACAUACAUAUAAACACUGUGUACCAUUUCUGCUAAUAGAGCCUCCUAAAUGUUACACUCUUGUCCUUUAAAGGAGGGGCUCCCAACCUGGGGGUCGCCAGGACUUUCUUGAUUUCCAGGCGUCUAAGAAAACAAAUUUUACACAAACUACCGUCAGUUAUGGCGUUCACUAUUUGGGUUCAUUGUACAGUUUAUCAGUUGUCCUGUACUGUUAUUGUUAUAUGAAAUAUCUAUAAAAUGUGUCACUUAGUUUGAUAGAAAAGGGGUCCCUUAAGGAAAAACUGCUUUAAAGGGUUAAGACUGCACUCACACAGCCGGGUUUCACAAGUAAUGUUCUCCUGUUACACGCAUUUGACGCCAAAGGCAGUUUGUUACAUUAUCUGCAUUUACAUACCAGUAAUCACUACCUGGCCAACAACUUUCUGCAGGAAGAAAAUAAAGACAUAGUUUGGCAAUCAUGACUGAUUGAUCAUUGUGGGAUAACUUGAUAUAAGAUGCCUUUUGAGUUUUUAUUUUAUAUGUUUUCUACCACUGGCUGGAUGAGGAUAAUGUCACAGCUUUCA